UAAGAGGUCCCACCUGCCCAGUGACUAUAAGUUUAACGGCCGCGGUAUUUUGACCGUGCAAAGGUAGCACAAUCACUUGUCCUUUAAAUGGGGACCUGUAUGAAUGGUAUGACGAAGGCUAAGCUGUCUCCCCUCUUAAGUCAAUGAAAUUGAUCUCCCCGUGCAGAAGCGGGGAUACAAACAUAAGACGAGAAGACCCUAUGGAGCUUUAGACACCAGAACAGACCACGUUAAAAACCCCUAACACACAGAAGAAACUAAAUGGAUGACUGUUCAAAUGUCUUUGGUUGGGGCGACCACGGAGCAUCAAAAAACCCCCGCGUGGAACAAAAACACACACCGUUUCUGAGAUUAAGAGCCCCCACUCAAAGUCCCAGAAUAUCUGACCAACAAUGAUCCGGCAACGCCGAACAACGGACCCAGUUACCCUAGGGAUAACAGCGCAAUCCUCUUCCAGAGUCCAUAUCGACAAGAGGGUUUACGACCUCGAUGUUGGAUCAGGGCAUCCUAAUGGUGCAGCCGCUAUUAAGGGUUCGUUUGUUCAACG
rnacentral:rRNA from 1 species